CACUCGGUAGCACAUGGUGUGCACUUGCUUGGCCUUGGGGUUCCAAGUUUAAGCCAUGUUUGUGCAGGAGGUCCUGGUUCGAUUCCGGGUCGGGUGG